AGGUGACCGCCAGCCGGCCGGGGAGGGACGGAGGGCCGCGGGCGCCUGGCGGCCGAGCCUCCUGCGGGGAUGCGGUUUUAACGCGCUGGGGCCUCCCUUUAUAGGGUCACAUGUGAUGGGGAGGAGGAUACAAGCCUGGAAUCUGGGAGAUUAGUCAAUAGGUGGUAAUAGGGCCACCAGACGCUUUUAGUUUUACGCUUCUUAUGUCUUACCUGGAAACAAUUAUUCUAAAAGUUGGUCACCUCAUUAAGCCAAAACAUGAGGGCAGAGUGGAGGAAGGAUGCAAAAAGUUUUUAAAUAAUAUAGGAAAGUACUAAAUUUAAGAAUGUUUGGACAACUCAUUCCAGGUCACCUAUAGCCUAUGAGAGAGGAAGAAUAUAUUUUGACAAUUAUCGGCGCUGUGUCAGCAGUGUUGCAUCUGAGCCAAGAAAACUUUAUGAAAUGCCAAAAUGUUCCAAAUCAGAAAAAAUAGAGGAUGCUUUAUUAUGGGAAUGCCCAGUGGGAGAUAUACUUCCCAAUUCAUCAGAUUAUAAGUCCUCACUCAUAGCACUGACUGCUCAUAAUUGGCUACUUCGUGUAUCAGCAACUACGGGAAAAAUCCUUGAGAAAAUAUAUCUUGCACCUUAUUGCAAAUUCAGAUACUUGAGCUGGGACACUCCUCAAGAAGUCAUUGCAGUUAAGUCAGCUCAGAACAGAGGCUCAGCAGUGGCCCGGCAGG
rnacentral:sRNA from 1 species